GAUUCAGUAGUGUAGGGGUAUCAUAGGCGCUUGCCAUCAACCAGCAUACUGCGCCUGACCCGGGUUCGAAUCCCGGCUGAAUCA
rnacentral:tRNA from 1 species